UAAAAGAGUGCGUAAUAGCUCACUAGUCGAGAGAUCUUGCGCCGAAAAUGUAACGGGGCUAAACUUACCACCGAAGCUACGGGCUUGAACUUAGUUCAAGCGGUAGGAGAGCGUCGUAACCGGGCUGAAGUCGUACCGUAAGGAGCGGUGGACUGGUUACGAGUGAGAAUGUUGGCAUCAGUAGCGAGAUGUGGGUGAGAAUCCCACAGGCCGAAAACCUAAGGUUUCCUCAGGAAGGUUCGUCCGCUGAGGGUUAGUCGGGACCUAAGCCGAGGCCGAAAGGCGUAGGUGAUGGACAACUGGUUGAUAUUCCAGUACCACUACCAUCGUUAUUAUCGAUGGCGUGACGCAGGAGGAUAGUGUGUGCUAGCUAUUGGAUGCUAGUCUAAGCGUUUAGGCAGUGAGAGUAGGCAAAUCCGCUCUCAUAAUGCUGAGGCGUGAUGGGGAAGGUUCUACGGAACCGAAGUACAUGAUUCCACGCUGCCAAGAAAAGCGUCUAGAGAGAGAAGUAGUGCCCGUACCGCAAACCGACACAGGUAGGUGAGGAGAGAAUCCUAAGGCCGGCGGAAGAAUUACAGUUAAGGAACUCGGCAAAUUGACCCCGUAAGUUCGCGAGAAGGGGUGCCUACGAGAGUAGGCCGCAGAGAAUAGGCCCAAGCAACUGUUUAGCAAAAACACAGGUCUCUGCUAAAGCGUAAGCUGAUGUAUAGGGGCUGACGCCUGCCCGGUGCUGGAAGGUUAAGGGGAGAGGUUAGCGCAAGCGAAGCUUUGAACUUAAGCCCCAGUAAACGGCGGCCGUAACUAUAACGGUCCUAAGGUAGCGAAAUUCCUUGUCGGGUAAGUUCCGACCCGCACGAAAGGCGUAAUGAUUUGGGCACUGUCUCAACAAUGCACCCGGUGAAAUUGAAAUACCAGUGAAGAUGCUGGUUACCUGCGCCAGGACGGAAAGACCCCAUGGAGCUUUACUCCAGCUUGAUACUGGGAUUCGGUAUUGCAUGUACAGGAUAGGUGGGAGGCUAAGAAGUGGUAACGCCAGUUGCCAUGGAGCCGCUGUUGGGAUACCACCCUUGCAGUACUGGGUUUCUAACCAGCAGCCGUGAUCCGGCUGGGGGACAAUGUCAGGUGGGGAGUUUGACUGGGGCGGUCGCCUCCGAAAGGGUAUCGGAGGCGCUCAAAGGUUCCCUCAGAAUGGUUGGAAACCAUUCGAAGAGUGCAAAGGCAGAAGGGAGCUUGACUGCGACACCGACGGGUGGAGCAGGUACGAAAGUAGGACUUAGUGAUCCGGUGGUAUAAAGUGGGAUUGCCAUCGCUCAACGGAUAAAAGCUACCCUGGGGAUAACAGGCUUAUCACUCCCAAGAGUUCACAUCGACGGAGUGGUUUGGCACCUCGAUGUCGGCUCAUCACAUCCUGGGGCUGAAGUAGGUCC
rnacentral:rRNA from 1 species